UGUGCAUAGUUUGCUGCAUCUCUUCUCGCAGCUCGGCGAUAGGAAUACAACCUUUUGCAUAGCGAGUCGCGUCGAAGCGGCAAAUGGACUCCUCGCCAACAAUCUGCACACAUACCUCUCGGGCGAAGAUAGUUCCUCAUCGCUAAUCUGUCCAUUGCGUUGUCUGCCUUGAACAGGACUAGAUACGGAUAAGGAAUCACUUUUCAUGAAGGAUUUCAAGGAGGGGAAGGAACUAUUUUCAUUCUCGAACGAGGUCAUCAAUUCGUCGAACACAGAGUUCGAUCGUUUGAUGUCCACAUCCGAAGAUAUUAUAGAGCUAAGGCUCAAAUUACUGCUUGAAAGCUUCGUUUUACAAAUCGAACCUUUGAAUUCCUUGUUCUCUUUGAGAUCUUUAAGAAAAGCUUCUUGUGAUAACGAGUUAGUCUCGGUGGAAUCGCUCGAGAAAUCUGACGCGAAAUCGUCGAAUUCCGAUGGAGGAGCUAUC